CUCUCUUUCAUUCAGGUCUUGCACUAAAACUCUACAAGUAUUGGAUGUGGCUGGCUGAGCCAGCAUUCUGCCUGGUCUCGCUGCUACCAUGAUGUUUUGGGGUUAUCCGUGAAGAAGUGAGAACAUUGGAUGCAGAUGGAUGUGCUCACAGCAGCUGAAGAAAACCUCAGAGGUGCAGAGCACAGGCCAGUGCAGGAUAAAGUGCCACCAUCACAAUCUGACCUUUACCACUUCUUGUUUUCUCGGCCCAUUCCUUUUUUAAUGCAUGGAGAAUCUUGGUCCUUGGUGCUUGAACCAUGGUCUCUUGGUGCUGAGUAGAGCCGGGCUGCAAGGAGAAAAUGGGACCUGGAGACUGAUGAAAGCAGGGAGCUGGAUGACUGAACAUCCCUGGUGCUGGAUACAGUGCAAAUAUCAAGAAAUGAGGAAACAAAUGCAGGUUUGAUGGAUCUUCCUCUAAAGUCAAUUAACAAACAAAUGCCUAUCCCACCUGCUUUUUGGAGUGGCUGAACCCACUUUUUAGGACUCAUGCACUGCAGUCAGGCACCUUUUUGAUGCUUCCAAAGGUGUGGCAGGCCCUGACUGUCCCCCAAGGCUGUAUCCACACUGCUCACCCUAUUUCUAUGUGUCAUUUAGCCUCUCCAUCCUUCAGAUUUUUUUCUUUUGUAUGUAUGUUUCCCAUCCAGAGCGCCCCAAUGAGGAAGGGCUGCUGAGUGGAGGUGUUACUGUAUGGCACUGGCAUGUCCCUUGGCAUAUCCCUUGGCAUGAAAAUACCACCAAGGCUGUGAUUAUUUUGUGCACCUGAUGUGAGAGUCCGUACAGCCAUUCUUUGCUUUGACCAUUAACAAGGCCUGAUUUUAGUCCAAAACAAGCUUUCUUGAAACAAAAUAGUAAUUUUCCAGUCUUCCUGUGGAAGCCAAAAGUAUUUUAAGUUGGACUGGGCUGGCCUAAACACAGGGUGGGGAAGGAGUCAGUAGGUUUGGGACAUUUUAAUAAUGAAGAGAAGAAUGUGAAAGGAAGGAUUAAACAUGAUGUUUUAUGUGUAUUUAUUGAGUCAAUUUAUAAGGUGCCUUUUGCAAAAUAUCUUGAGCACUGCAUGGAAAACCACAAUGCAAAAUAUUUGAAAAAUCUGAACACGAAGCCAGCGUGUCCCAGCAUACAGCCAGGAAACAAAGGAGUUGGCACUGGGAGCAGUUCUCUAAUCACCAGGCCCCAGCAAAAGGAGAUCUAUGUCUGCAGGACAAGGGAGAGGCCAAUUAGAAGCCCAUUUCACCUGGCCAAGGCAAGAGCACAGAUGUUUGUGGCACAGUUUCUGUUACGGGAUUUUCUCACUUGGAACUGAAGCAUGAGUUUUUGGCAUGCUGCUGUGCUGAUGGCUUUUUCCUGUGAGAUGGCCAGAGCUGCCCCUCCAGCUGUGUGGCUCUGCGAAACCCUGCAGAGGGGCUGCCAAGUGCUCCCCAAAAUCUUUGUGAAGUCCAUGGGACACCUAUGUGGUGAGGAACACUAUAAAGGAUGCAUUGAACAAGAGCGCUUUGAAGUCAUGGGUACUGGAAAAAUAUUCUG